GAUGAACGCUGGCGGCGUGCCUAAUACAUGCAAGUCGAGCGAAUGGAUUAAGAGCUUGCUCUUAUGAAGUUAGCGGCGGACGGGUGAGUAACACGUGGGUAACCUGCCCAUAAGACUGGGAUAACUCCGGGAAACCGGGGCUAAUACCGGAUAACAUUUUGAACCGCAUGGUUCGAAAUUGAAAGGCGGCUUCGGCUGUCACUUAUCGAUGGACCCGCGUCGCAUUAGCUAGUUGGUGAGGUAACGGCUCACCAAGGCAACGAUGCGUAGCCGACCUGAGAGGGUGAUCGGCCACACUGGGACUGAGAAACGGCCCAGACUCCUACGGGAGGCAGCAGUAGGGAAUCUUCCGCAAUGGACGAGAGUCUGACGGAGCAACGCCGCGUGAGUGAUGAAGGCUUUCGGGUCGUAAAACUCUGUUGUUAGGGAAGAACAAGUGCUAGUUGAAUAAGCUGGCACCUUGACGGUACCUAACCAGAAAGCCACGGCUAACUACGUGCCAGCCGCCGCCGUAA
rnacentral:rRNA from 1 species